GGGUUGUGAGGUUAAGCGACUAAGCGUACACGGUGGAUGCCCUGGCAGUCAGAGGCGAUGAAGGGCGUGCUAAUCUGCGAUAAGCGCCGGUAAGGUGAUAUGAACCGUUAUAACCGGCGAUACCCGAAUGGGGAAACCCAGUGUGACUCGUCACACUAUCAUUAACUGAAUCCAUAGGUUAAUGAGGCGAACCGGGGGAACUGAAACAUCUAAGUACCCCGAGGAAAAUAAAUCAACCGAGAUUCCCCCAGUAGCGGCGAGCGAACGGGGAGGAGCCCAGAGCCUGAAUCAGCAUGUGUGUUAGUGGAAGCGUCUGGAAAGGCGCGCGAUACAGGGUGACAGCCCCGUACACAAAAGCGCAUGUGCUGUGAGCUCGAUGAGUAGGGCGGGACACGUGGUAUCCUGUCUGAAUAUGGGGGGACCAUCCUCCAAGGCUAAAUACUCCUGACUGACCGAUAGUGAACCAGUACCGUGAGGGAAAGGCGAAAAGAACCCCGGCGAGGGGAGUGAAAAAGAACCUGAAACCGUGUACGUACAAGCAGUGGGAGCCCCACCACCAAAGCAUUCUCUGGUGUUGAAGGCCCUGCAAAGCAGCAUCGCGGUGGCGGAGCGUCGUUUGCGACGCCCAACACACAAAACAAGCGGUGAGUGCUUUGGGGUGGGGUGACUGCGUACCUUUUGUAUAAUGGGUCAGCGACUUAUAUUCUGUAGCAAGGUUAACCGAAUAGGGGAGCCGGAGGGAAACCGAGUCUUAAUUGGGCGUUAAGUUGCAGGGUAUAGACCCGAAACCCGGUGAUCUAGCCAUGGGCAGGUUGAAGGUUGGGUAACACUAACUGGAGGACCGAACCGACUAAUGUUGAAAAAUUAGCGGAUGACCUGUGGCUGGGGGUGAAAGGCCAAUCAAACCGGGAGAUAGCUGGUUCUCCCCGAAAGCUAUUUAGGUAGCGCCUCGUGAAUUCAUCUCCGGGGGUAGAGCACUGUUUCGGCUAGGGGGUCAUCCCG
rnacentral:rRNA from 2 species